CAAAAAACAAACAAACAAAAAACCCCAGAAAUAUAAUUUUUUAGCUCCUCUUUUUUUUUUCUGUAAGAAAAGGAAGGUGUGUUUUAAAAUUCCAUGAUAGUUACUGAUAUUUUCUUAAUUUUUCCAGAAGUGAGAAGCUGAGGCAAGAGGAGGCCAAGUAACUUGUAUGAAGUUGUAUGAUCACCAAGAAGCAGAAAUCAGAGUAGGCUCUUGACCUAUGCUGCCUCUUAUCAUGUACAGGAAGAUUUUAUUCUGAACCCUUAAGGAUAUAGCUAAGAGAUUUUUUAAUGUUACCAUCGAGACUUCAAUGUCAGGUUUGGGGAGGAAAUCAAGAAGAGAUAUUUCAUAAUAAAUGGUACGACUGAAAUAAAAUUGCAGUUGCAUCCUGCAGUAAAAUUAGAGUAUACGAAUUAUUUUCCAUUCUGGUUUUGGCUGCUUAUCCUUUAGUCAUUCUUUCCAGGGCCAUUCUGUGUAGGUUAGGCUUCCUCAGCGAAAGCAGAGGGUCGUGGU
rnacentral:lncRNA from 10 species